UUACGGCCAUAUCACGUUUAAACACCGGUUCCCGCACGGUCAUCGAAGUUAAGUAACGUCGAGCCUGGUCGGUACUUAGAUGGGUGACAGCUUGGGAAUAACAGGGUCUGUA